AUACUGGUCUGUGACUGAAGAGGAGGUAGGCUCUUAGUAUUUUUUCAGUGACAUUUUAAUAUGUAAUACAACUAGACACUACAGUAGUAAAUAUAUCAUUCAUAGGCGUGUGAGGGAGCUGAAUAGCAGUAACACAAAGAAGUUUCUGGAAGAAAGAAAACGGUUGGCAAUGAAGCAAUCAAAGGAAAUGGAUCAGUUGAAGAAAGUCCAACUUGAGCAUGUAGAAAUUUUGGAGAAACAAAAUGAGCAGCUUUUGAAAUCCUGCCAUGCUGUCUCUCAAUUUCAAGGCCAAGGAGAUGCAGCAGAUGGUGAAGCUAGAGGCAGAGAUGGACCGCAGGCCUGCAACAGUGGUAUAAAGCUCCAAUGCACAAACUGAAAUCUGAGGCCAUCUGAUUUUUAUUUAUUAUUAUUUGGUCUUUGCAAUGAUAAUUCACCGAAGAUUGGAAGAUGGGAUCUCUUUUGCUUAGUGUCAAGUAGCAAAUCUAGGCUGAAGAGCUUGGAUUUUGGGGGGGGG